CUUUUAUCGAAUACAGAAGCAAUGAUGAAUCACUGCUAUCUGUUAUUUUAAUGUGGGAUCAAAAUGUCAUUUACAAUAAAACAAUAUUAGAAAAAGAUAUUUAUGUAGAAACUGAAAUUGAUACUUUUGCAUCAUCAGUUAUAUUUCAUCUUUAUAAUAUAUCAACAACUGAUGAUUUUCAUUUGUGCCUUGAAAUAUUGGAGGAAAUUUGUUGGAUGAAUUUCAAACAAAAUGCUGGUUGUAU